CGGCAUGCCUAAGACAUGCAAGUCGAACGAGAUGGCCUUAGAAGGAUUGAGCUUGACUCAAAACUGGAAAAAGAUACCCAUCUAGUGGCAGACGGGUGAGUAACACGUGGGUGACCUACCUCGUAAGCUGGGGAUAACAGUUGGAAACGAUUGCUAAUACCGAAUAAGAUAUAACUACCAUGGUUAUAUUGAAAGGAGCCUUUAAAGCUCCACUUAGAAAUGGGCCUGCGGCGUAUUAACUAGUUGGUGAGAUAACAGCCCACCAAGGUGACGAUGCGUAGCCGAACUGAGAGGUUGAACGGCCACACUGGGACUGAGACACGGCCCAGACUCCUACGGGAGACAGCAGUUAGGAAUAUUCGUCAAUGGGGGAAACCCUGAACGAGCAAUGCCGCGUGAGUGAUGAAGGUCCUAAUGGAUUGUAAAGCUCUGUUGUAUGGAAAAACGGCUAGAUUAGGAAAUGAAUCUAGUGUGAUGGUACCAUACCAGAAAGCUCCGGCUAACUACGUGCCAGCCGCAGC
rnacentral:rRNA from 1 species